CGGGAAUAUCAAUAGGGGAGCAAUGGGAGGAAUGGAAGCAACGGCUCUCGCGAGGAUUCUCCCAGCGCUCCUCUCUUCCCGAGGCGGGCCGUCACGUGACGCCGUCUCGCCCAAUCGGCGCGCGGGCUGUAGGGGUCGCCGCGGUUCCCGCCAAAUACGAGCGCGGCGGCCGCGGUAGCAGCGGCGCGGGCGGGAGGGCGAGCAGCAGCGGCCGCCUGAGGGGAGCCGGCGCCUCCGCCGCCUCCGCCGCCUCCGCCGCCUGAGGGGAGCUCGAGGAGCCGCCGCCGGGGCGAUGCUGGAGGAGCCGGAGUGCGGGGCGCCGGGCGCCAGGGGAGAGGCCGCAGCCAUGGAUUGCAAAGACAGACCAGCUUUUCCAGUCAAGAAGUUAAUACAAGCCCGUCUGCCUUUCAAGCGCUUGAAUCUUGUCCCAAAGGAGAAAACUGACAGCUGUUCGGACGAUAUGAAAAGUUCUCAGAGUGCUUCCCUGCAAAAUAAAGUCUCCGAUUUAGAAAUCAGUUUGGACAACUUGGAGAAUGACUGUCAUGUGGGAUCUGAUGUAGAAUUGAGACCCAAACUUGUAAAUGGAAAGGGUCCGUUAGAUAACUUUUUAAGAACAAGAGUCAGAACCAAUAUUGGCGAGACCACAGUUAUAAUUGAUUUGACAGAGGACUCAAAUAACCCACUGGUCAGUACCGUGGACCACCAUGAACUAAAUUCCAAAGCCUCCCCCUCCAGGGAGGCUAUCAAUGGGGUCAGAGAAGAUGAGCAUCAGAGGGGUUUCUUGGAAGCCUGUCAGAGCAACACGGCAUUUCCAGAAGAGAGCUUUUCAGACAUUCCUUGCCAGACGGAGGAAAGGGUUGGCUCAGGAGGCAUGGAGAGGAGCGGAGACUCACAGAAAGGCUUGCCGGAAAGCUGCCCUGGCCUGACAGGUGGUCAGCGAACGUACUCUGAACUGGGGAGGGAUGGGUGGAGUGAUGCUGGGGGCAUCCUGGUCAAGGGGAAAGUGCCCCUGGUGGUCUUGCAGGAUAUUCUGGCUGCGAAACCUGCACAAGCCAAUUCUCCAGAAACAAAGUGUAUAGACAAGAGUGUGACCUCGGAGAGUGAGGUGCUGGAAUCCUGCCCCGAAGAAGACUCUGUUCUUAGCCCUUCGUCUUUGAGCACUUCCUCACCUACCAGUUCUCCUGAGGGACCAUCUGCCCCCCAAAGGCAUUUCAGCAGUGUCAGCCCCUUCCCCACCUCCACCCCUAUCCGCAGAAUAACUAAGAAAUUCGUCAAAGGUUCUACAGAGAAGAACGAGAUGAGACUGCAAAGAGAGAAAGAACGUUUGGGCAAGCAACUAAAGUUACAAGCAGAGAAAGAAGAAAAGGAGAAGCUCAAAGAAGAGGCCAAACGGGCCAAGGAAGAGGCCAAAAAGAAGAAAGAGGAAGAGAAGGAACUGAAAGAAAAGGAAAGGCGAGAGAAGAGGGAGAAAGAUGAAAAGGAGAAGGCCGAGAAGCAGCGGCUCAAGGAGGAGCGGCGCAAGGAGAGGCAGGAGGCCUUGGAGGCGAAACUGGAGGAGAAAAGGAAGAAAGAAGAGGAGAAACGGUUAAAAGAAGAAGAAAAGCGCAUUAAAGCAGAGAAAGCUGAAAUCACCAGGUUCUUUCAGAAACCAAAGACUCCACAGGCCCCCAAGACCCUGGCCGGCUCCUGCGGGAAGUUUGCCCCUUUUGAAAUUAAAGAGCACAUGGUUCUCGCCCCUCUGUGCCGGGCUGCUUUUGAUCAAGACCUCUGUGAUCAGUUAGACCAGCUACUCCAGCAACAGAGUGGCAGAUUUUCCUUCCUGGAGGAUCUGAAAGGCCGGCGGCCACUCAGAUCUGGACCUACCCUUGUUUGUAACCAGAAUGCAGACCUUUUUAACAGUGAUGUCGUGAUCGUGGAAAGCAGCAAAGUUGACGGUGUUCCCGAAAGGAAGACAUUUGGCAGGAUGAAGCUCCUGCAGUUCUCUGAGAACCACCGGCCUGCGUACUGGGGAACGUGGAACAGGAAGACGACAGCCAUCCGUCCCAGGAACCCCUGGGCCCAAGACAGGAAGCUGCUCGACUACGAGGUUGACAGCGAUGAGGAGUGGGAGGAAGAGGAGCCGGGAGAGUCUCUGUCCCACAGUGAAGGGGAUGAUGAUGAUGAAGUGGGAGAAGACGAAGAUGAGGAUGAUGGUUUUUUUGUGCCCCAUGGGUACCUUUCUGAGGAUGAAGGAGUGACCGAGGAAUGUGCCGAUCCCGAGAACCACAAGGUUCGCCAGAAACUGAAGGCCAAGGAGUGGGACGAGUUUCUAGCCAAGGGGAAGAGGUUCCGCGUGCUCCAGCCCGUGAAGAUUGGCUGCGUCUGGGCGGCUGAGAAGCACAGCCACGCCAGCGGGGACCUGAAGGUGCUGCAGCAGUUCUCCGCGUGCCUCCUGGCCCCCGUCCCCUCCGAGGAAGAGCCAGCACCCAAGGCCUCCAAGAGAGAGAAGAAGGACCAGCAGAUCUUAGCCCAACUGCUCCCGCUGCUGCACGGGAACGUGAACGGGAGCAAGGCGAUCAUCCGUGAGUUCCAGGAGUGCUGCCGCCAAGGGCUGCUCCGCACGGAUGCCAGCAGCCCUGAGGGCGGCUCUGCCAGUCCCCCGAGCCCCAGCGCCUCCUGCCCGCAGACCCCCACGGCCAGCGAGGACACCACCAUCCCUUCCAAAGCCAGGCUGAAGCGGAUUAUUUCCGAGAACUCGGUGUACGAGAAGAGGCCUGACUUCAGGAUGUGCUGGUACGUCCACCCGCAGGUACUGAGGAGCUUUGAGCAGGAGCACCUGCCCGUGCCGUGCCAGUGGAGCUAUGUCACCUCACCGCCCUCAGCCCCCAAAGAGGACAGUGGCAGCACCCCCACUGUGGGGCCCGGGCAGGGGACGCCCAUCCCGCUGAAGAGGAAGUCCGCGGGCACCAUGUGCAUCACCCAGUUCAUGAAGAAGCGGAGGCACGAGGGCCAGGUUGGAGCUGGGGACAUGGACGGCUUCCAGGCGGACACGGAGGAGGAGGAGGAAGAGGAGGGUGACUGCGUGAGCAUGGAUGUCCUGGAGGCUGGGGAGGUUGCAGCCCCCCGAGGAGCCCCUUCAGAAGCUGGGGGUUUGGUGGCCAUGGACUCCGGCGAGGGCCCCCUACCUGCGAGCCCACUGGGCCCCUCCUGAGCCCGCGUGCAUGGUGGCUGGGUGGGGGUCUCGCAGCGCAUGCCAGAUACUUGAAAACCUGUCCCUGUGUAAAGAGCACUUUGUCCUGCCUCGCAGACCUCCCUGGAGUGUUUCCCCUGAGAGGGUGUGCAGGGAGCUGUGUCUACACCCCCUGUGCCUUCAGAGCCCUCCCUGCCCGGCCUCCACCAGCCUACCCAGACCCGGCCGUGUGCUGCAGCGUCAGGCCCAGACUGUGCAGAAGUGUUGUCCUGUUCACUCUCCUCCCCGUCUCGCCUGGUCCCAGAGGGGCUUCUCAGCACACAGGGCCUUUCACAGGCUCUGGCUUCGGGUCCGCAGGGCCUCCUGGGAACAGACUUCUGGGCUGGGCCCCAUUUGGGGAGGAGCGUGGCGGCCGGCCAUGGCGACUUCCUGCAGCCGUGGAGGCAGCCACCAGCCCUGCUCUCGGUGCUGCCCGGUCCCCGGCCUGGGCAAUGGCAAGUCCAGCCAAGAUGUGCAGACACGAAUUGGAGGCAGGUGCUUAGGGUGUGGCUUCCUCCACAGGCAGUCUAGACCGGGGUCAUGGUGCCCUCCCCAAGCCCUUGCUCCUGUCCUCCUGCCCGUGUCAAGUUGUUUGUCCCUUUCCCUCCUGCUUUAUCAGUCCACAAAGAGGCCCCUUGC